rnacentral:rRNA from 1 species
AACGAACGCUGGCGGCAUGCCUAACACAUGCAAGUCGAACGAGACCUUCGGGUCUAGUGGCGCACGGGUGCGUAACGCGUUGGAAUCUGCCCUUGGGUUCGGAAUAACAGUUAGAAAUGACUGCUAAUACCGGAUAAUGCCUUCGGACCAAAAGAUUUAUCGCCCAGGGAUGAGCCCGCGUAGGAAUUAGCUAGUUGGUGAGGUAAAGGCUCACCAAGGCGACGAUCCUUAGCUGGUCUAGAGAGGAUGAUCAGCCACACUGGGACUGAGACACGGCCCAGACUCCUACGGGAGGCAGCAGU